GUGGAAUGGCCUUCUCUCCUACUUCAUCACCCGGAUACAGCCCAUCAUCACCAGGCUACAGUCCGUCAUCUCCUGGAUACAGUCCCACGUCACCUGGAUACAGCCCAACUUCGCCUGGAUACAGUCCCACCUCGCCUGGAUAUAGCCCUACCUCACCAACUUAUAGUCCAAGUUCUCCUGGUUAUAGUCCAACCAGUCCUGCCUAUUCUCCUACCAGUCCAUCGUACUCACCUACUUCACCAAGCUAUAGCCCAACCUCCCCAAGUUACAGCCCAACAUCCCCAAGCUACAGCCCGACCUCUCCAAGUUACAGCCCCACUUCUCCCAGUUACAGUCCAACUUCACCAAGCUAUAGCCCCACCUCACCGGCAUAUAGCCCCACCUCACCUGCAUAUAGCCCCACCUCACCUGCAUACAGCCCCACUUCACCAUCGUACAGCCCAACCUCUCCUUCCUACAGCCCAACAUCACCUUCGUACAGCCCUACCUCACCGUCAUACAGCCCCACUUCUCCAUCGUACAGCCCCACUUCACCAGCCUAUAGCCCCACUUCUCCUGGUUAUAGUCCAACUUCACCAAGUUAUAGCCCAACUUCACCAACCUAUAGUCCUACAUCCCCAAGCUACAAUCCUCAGUCUGCCAAAUACAGUCCGUCGCUGGCCUACUCACCAAGUAGUCCAAGAUUAUCUCCUGCCAGUCCGUACAGCCCUACAUCUCCAAAUUACAGGUAAGCCAUAGUGCGAUAUGUGGUCAAGUCUAAUGUUUGUGUUAAAAGCUGUAUCCAAUUUAUUAGGUCUUGUUUUUGAUAGAAUUCUAUAUACUGAAAUAUCUGUUGAACCUAAGACUUGCUGUAGCUGGGGAUUGGACUUGGAUGGGUUUAAAUUAUUAAUGAUUUUAUCUCUGUUGUUUUUAACAUUAUUAUAUCUGGAUGAUUAUGUUGAUGUAUCUUGUAAGCAACUUUUCUUUUUACGCAGUCCAACAUCAUCUUCGUAUUCACCGACAUCUCCCUCUAUGAUACUGGACCAAUGAUGAGAUGUUCAUUUGAAGAAACGGUUGACAUUCUUCUUGAUGCUGCAGUCUUUGCAGAAUCAGAUUAUUUGAGGGGGGUCACUGAGAAUAUAAUGUUAGGUCAGCUUGCGCCUAUUGGGACAGGAGACUGUUCAUUGUAUCUCAAUGAUGAGAUGCUGAAAAAUGCCAUCGAACUUCAGCUUCCUAGUUAUAUGGAAGGUCUGGAGUUUGGCAUGACACCUGCUCGUUCUCCGGUGUCUGGGACUCCUUAUCAUGAUGGCAUGAUGUCUCCAGGUUACUUGUUUAGCCCAAAUCUCCGUCUGUCCCCGGUCACGGAUGCCCAGUUUUCUCCUUAUGUUGGUGGAAUGGCCUUCUCUCCUACUUCAUCACCCGGAUACAGCCCAUCAUCACCAGGCUACAGUCCGUCAUCUCCUGGAUACAGUCCCACGUCACCUGGAUACAGCCCAACUUCGCCUGGAUACAGUCCCACCUCGCCUGGAUAUAGCCCUACCUCACCAACUUAUAGUCCAAGUUCUCCUGGUUAUAGUCCAACCAGUCCUGCCUAUUCUCCUACCAGUCCAUCGUACUCACCUACUUCACCAAGCUAUAGCCCAACCUCCCCAAGUUACAGCCCAACAUCCCCAAGCUACAGCCCGACCUCUCCAAGUUACAGCCCCACUUCUCCCAGUUACAGUCCAACUUCACCAAGCUAUAGCCCCACCUCACCGGCAUAUAGCCCCACCUCACCUGCAUAUAGCCCCACCUCACCUGCAUACAGCCCCACUUCACCAUCGUACAGCCCAACCUCUCCUUCCUACAGCCCAACAUCACCUUCGUACAGCCCUACCUCACCGUCAUACAGCCCCACUUCUCCAUCGUACAGCCCCACUUCACCAGCCUAUAGCCCCACUUCUCCUGGUUAUAGUCCAACUUCACCAAGUUAUAGCCCAACUUCACCAACCUAUAGUCCUACAUCCCCAAGCUACAAUCCUCAGUCUGCCAAAUACAGUCCGUCGCUGGCCUACUCACCAAGUAGUCCAAGAUUAUCUCCUGCCAGUCCGUACAGCCCUACAUCUCCAAAUUACAGGUAAGCCAUAGUGCGAUAUGUGGUCAAGUCUAAUGUUUGUGUUAAAAGCUGUAUCCAAUUUAUUAGGUCUUGUUUUUGAUAGAAUUCUAUAUACUGAAAUAUCUGUUGAACCUAAGACUUGCUGUAGCUGGGGAUUGGACUUGGAUGGGUUUAAAUUAUUAAUGAUUUUAUCUCUGUUGUUUUUAACAUUAUUAUAUCUGGAUGAUUAUGUU
rnacentral:lncRNA from 1 species